rnacentral:rRNA from 1 species
GAUGAACGCUGGCGGCGUGCUUAACACAUGCAAGUCGAACGGGAAUUACUUUAUUGAAACUUCGGUCGAUUUAAUUUAAUUCUAGUGGCGGACGGGUGAGUAACGCGUGGGUAACCUGCCUUAUACAGGGGGAUAACAGUCAGAAAUGGCUGCUAAUACCGCAUAAGCGCACAGAGCUGCAUGGCUCAGUGUGAAAAACUCCGGUGGUAUAAGAUGGACCCGCGUUGGAUUAGCUAGUUGGUGGGGUAACGGCCCACCAAGGCGACGAUCCAUAGCCGGCCUGAGAGGGUGAACGGCCACAUUGGGACUGAGACACGGCCCAGACUCCUACGGGAGGCAGCAGUGGGGAAUAUUGCACAAUGGGGGAAACCCUGAUGCAGCCACGCCGCGAGAAAGAAAAAAUAUCUCGGUAUUUAAACUUCUAUCAGCAGGGAAGAUAGUGACGGUACCUGACUAAGAAGCCCCGGCUAAUUACGUGCCAGCAGCCGCGGUAAUACGUAGGGGGCAAGCGUUAUCCGGUUUUUACUGGGUGUAAAGGGAGCGUAGACGGUGUGGCAAGUCUGAUGUGAAAGGCAUGGGCUCAACCUGUGGACUGCAUUGGAAACUGUCAUACUUGAGUGCCGGAGGGGUAAGCGGAAUUCCUAGUGUAGCGGUGAAAUGCGUAGAUAUUAGGAGGAACACCAGUGGCGAAGGCGGCUUACUGGACGGUAACUGACGUUGAGGCUCGAAAGCGUGGGGAGCAAA